GUGUUUGUUCUCUAAUGGUGAAUCAAAGGUGUUCGAUGAUAUUCCUAAAUAACCUAACUAUUUUGCAAGAAUUCUCAUUGUUUCUUUUUCGCUGUUAGCCAGGAAAUUUUAGUCUUCGAUUUCACAAUCUUGACGAUCUUCGGCAAUCUCCAAACAAAAUUACUACCAAAAUGUGCUCAUUAAAGGCAGCACCUGCAGUUGCAAAACACAUUUCAACAUCUCAGACAAGAGUAACAUGUUCGAGGUCUGUAGUUUAUGUCUAAUUUUCAUCUUCAUUUUAAUUGCAGAAUAGAUACAGAGGAUUCAUAAAUGUCCAACCCCAACUAUGUUGAGGUGCGG
rnacentral:misc_RNA from 1 species